rnacentral:rRNA from 1 species
CCUANGGGGGGCUGCAGUGAGGAAUAUUGCACAAUGGGCGAAAGCCUGAUGCAGCGACGCCGCGUGGAGGAUGACGGUCUUCGGAUUGUAAACUCCUGUUAAGUGUGAAAAAAGACUCGUUUUUAAUAGAAACGAGGGAUGAUGGUAACACUAGAGAAAGCACCGGCUAACUUCGUGCCAGCAGCCGCGGUAAUACGAGGGGUGCAAACGUUAUUCGGAAUCACUGGGCGUAAAGGGUGCGUAGAUGGCAAGAUAAGUCAAUUAUUAAAUCUCCUAGCUUAACUAGGAAUCUGUGGUUGAAACUGACUUGCUAGAGGAUGGAAGAGAGAAGCGGAAUUCUCGGAGUAGCGGUAAAAUGCGUAGAUCUCGAGAGGAACACCGAUGGCGAAGGCAGCUUCUUGGUCCAUUUCUGACGUUGAGGCACGAAAGCGUGGGGAGCAAACAGGAUUAGAUACCCUUNUANUC